GAGUUUGAUCUUGGCUCAGAUUGAACGCUGGCGGCAUGCCUUACACAUGCAAGUCGAACGGCAGCAUGAUCUAGCUUGCUAGAUUGAUGGCGAGUGGCGAACGGGUGAGUAAUACAUCGGAACGUGCCCUGUAGUGGGGGAUAACUAGUCGAAAGAUUAGCUAAUACCGCAUACGACCUGAGGGUGAAAGUGGGGGACCGCAAGGCCUCAUGCUAUAGGAGCGGCCGAUGUCUGAUUAGCUAGUUGGUGGGGUAAAGGCCCACCAAGGCGACGAUCAGUAGCUGGUCUGAGAGGACGAUCAGCCACACUGGGACUGAGUCACGGCCCAGACUCCUACGGGAGGCAGCAGUGGGGAAUUUUGGACAAUGGGGGCAACCCUGAUCCAGCAAUGCCGCGUGUGUGAAGAAGGCCUCGG
rnacentral:rRNA from 1 species